rnacentral:sRNA from 1 species
UUCUAGCCCCGAUAGAAGUGAAAAUCCUUUUGUGCCGGGGUUCGGCACAAAAGAUUGUAACGUAUAGCGGGAAACAGC